rnacentral:rRNA from 1 species
CCUACGGGAGGCAGCAGUGGGGGAUAUUGCACAAUGGGGGAAACCCUGAUGCAGCGACGCCGCGUGUGGGAAGACGGUCUUCUGGAUUGUAAACCACUGUCCCCAGGGACGAAAAUGACGGUACCUGGGGAGGAAGCUCCGGCUAACUACGUGCCAGCAGCCGCGGUAAUACGUAGGGAGCAAGCGUUGUCCGGAAGUACUGGGGGAAAAGGGAGCGUAGGCGGGGAUGCAAGUUGGGUGUCAAAACUACCGGCUCAACCGAUAGUCGCACUCAAAACUGCAGCUCUUGAGUGAAGUAGAGGCAGGCGGAAUUCCUAGUGUAGCGGUGAAAUGCGUAGAUAUAAGGAAGAACACCAGUGGCGAAGGCGGAUGACUGGACGGCAACUGACGGUGAGGCGCGAAAGCGUGGGGAGCAAACAGGAUUAGAUACCCUUGUAGUC